AAAGUGCGUGUCCCAUCGAUGCAAAUAAAUAGUAAUCGGACGGAGCCAAGUCUGGCCUGAUAAGUGGUCCGAAACUAGCUGAAGAACUUUUGAUAAAGACUAAAAAGAAGGUGUACUCUCAAACCAUGCGCAGAACAUUGAAAAAAGGCUAUUACAGUGAAAGAGUUGCUCGGAGACAGCCAUUUGUAAACGAAGCGAAUAGAAAGAAAAAAGUAAACUAUGCACGAGAAUUUGUUUUAAAAGAAGAUACAUGGCGAAAUGACGUAAUUUUUAGUGAUGAAAGUACAUUUAACAUUUUUAGUUCAGAUGGGCGGCGAAUAAUAUGGCGGAAGAAGAAUAAAGAAUUUUAAUUGAAAAUUACGAAACCCAUUGUAAAAUAUGGUAAUGGAAACGUGCUUGCGUGGGGAUGUAUUUCAAUGCUUGGAACGGGCGAAUUAGAUUUUGUUGAUAACAUUAUGGACGAAUAUAGAUAUUUAAAUAUUUAAAAAAAAUUUACUCAAAAGUGCUUUGAAAAUAGGGAUUGUUGAUAUAUUUAAGUACUAUCAAGAUAACGAUCUUAAACAUAAGGUCCGCAUAUAGAAAUAUUUGUUGCAUAACUAUCCAAAAUUAUUACACCCUGCACCUCAGUCACCAGAUCUGAACCCGAUUCGAAACCUAUGGGAAGAACUAGAAAGGUGAAUUAGAAAAAUUCCAAUAAUGUCAAAAGAAGUGCUGAAACAGCGAUUAAAGGAAGAAUGGAAUAGUAUUAAUACUGGAUACCUGAACAAAUAAUUUGUAAUAUGCCACAACGUUUGAAGGAAGUUAUUGAUCAAGAAGGUUACUCUAUACAUCACUUGUAAAAUGUAAUAAAUAAUAAAUAAUAAAUAAUAAAG